AAGGAGACUUCAGGGCCCAGAGCGUUCCUGUCACCAAAGUCUCCCCUGGCUUCUGCAGAACUUUGGUCAUCUAGGUGAGGGACCACAGGCCAGCCAGCUGUUCCCUCCAGACGUCUCCGGAAACCUCUGAGUCCCUUGGAAGGUAACAAACUCAGACCAAGACUGAACUGGAGGUGUCUUGAUGGUCAAAAGUCUGGAGAGUCAGAGAGGAGAGGAAGGGUGAGUCCUGACUACAACAUAGAAACGGGAUGAUCUUGGCCAAUUUCUCAACCCCCUGAACCCCAGAGCCCUGGCUUUUUCAUGUGUGUAAUGAGAUGCCCUUUGGACAUUAGAAAGAAUGCAGAAA
rnacentral:lncRNA from 1 species